rnacentral:rRNA from 1 species
CUGAUGCAGCCAUGCCGCGUGAAUGAUGAAGGUCUUAGGAUUGUAAAAUUCUUUGAGCGGGAACGAUAAUGACGGGACCCGGAGAAGAAGCCCCGGCUAACUUCGUGCCAGCAGCCGCCGGAAUACUAAGGGGGCUAGCGUUGCUCGGAAUUACUGGGGGUAAAGGGCGCGUAAGCGGAUCGUUAAAUCAGGGGUGAAAUCCCCGAGCUCAACUCUGGAACUGCCUUUGAUACUGGCGAUCUUGAGUGUGAGAGAGGUUUGUGGAACUCCGAGUGUAAAGGUGAAAUUCGUAUAUAUUCGGAAGAACACCAGUGGCGAAAGCGACAUACUGGCUCAUUACUGACGCUGAAGCCCGAAAGCGUGGGGAGCAAACAGGAUUAAAUACCCUGGUAGUCCACCCCGUAAACCAUGAUUGCUAGUUGUCGGGCUGCAUGCACUUCUGUGACGCAGCUAACGCAUUAAGCAAUCCGCCUGGGGAGUACGGUCGCAAGAUUAAAACUCCAAUGAGUUGACGGGGG